rnacentral:rRNA from 1 species
AACGAACGCUGGCGGCAUGCCUAACACAUGCAAGUCGAACGAGACCUUCGGGUCUAGUGGCGCACGGGUGCGUAACGCGUGGGAACCUUCCCUUAGGUUCGGAAUAACUCCCCGAAAGGGGUGCUAAUACCGGAUAAUGUCUUCGGACCAAAGAUUUAUCGCCUUUGGAUGGGCCCGCGUUGGAUUAGCUAGUUGGUAGGGUAAAAGCCUACCAAGGCGACGAUCCAUAGCUGGUCUGAGAGGAUGAUCAGCCACACUGGGACUGAGACACGGCCCAGACUCCUACGGGAGGAAGCAGUGGGGAAUAUUGGACAAUGGGCGAAAGCCUGAUCCAGCAAUGCCGCGUGAGUGAUGAAGGCCUUAGGGUUGUAAAGCUCUUUUAACCGGGAUGAUAAUGACAGUACCGGGAGAAUAAGCGCCGGCUAACUCCGUG